CGUCUCGUGGGCUCGGAGAUGUGUAUAAGAGACAGGCCUAACACAUGCAAGUUGAGCGAUUUACUUCGGUAAAGAGCGGCGGACGGGUGAGUAACGCGUGGGUAACCUACCCUGUACACACGGAUAACAUACCGAAAGGUAUGCUAAUACGGGAUAAUAUAUUUGAGAGGCAUCUCUUGAAUAUCAAAGGUGAGCCAGUACAGGAUGGACCCGCGUCUGAUUAGCUAGUUGGUAAGGUAACGGCUUACCAAGGCGACGAUCAGUAGCCGACCUGAGAGGGUGAUCGGCCACAUUGGAACUGAGACACGGUCCAAACUCCUACGGGAGGCAGCAGUGGGGAAUAUUGCACAAUGGGCGAAAGCCUGAUGCAGCAACGCCGCGUGAGUGAUGAAGGCCUUCGGGUCGUAAAACUCUGUCCUCAAGGAAGAUAAUGACGGUACUUGAGGAGGAAGCCCCGGCUAACUACGUGCCAGCAGCCGCGGUAAUACGUAGGGGGCUAGCGUUAUCCGGAUUUACUGGGCGUAAAGGGUGCGUAGGCGGUCUUUCAAGUCAGGAGUGAAAGGCUACGGCUCAACCGUAGUAAGCUCUUGAAACUGGGAGACUUGAGUGCAGGAGAGGAGAGUGGAAUUCCUAGUGUAGCGGUGAAAUGCGUAGAUAUUAGGAGGAACACCAGUUGCGAAGGCGGCUCUCUGGACUGUAACUGACGCUGAGGCACGAAAGCGUGGGGAGCAAACAGGAUUAGAUACCCUGGUAGUCCACGCUGUAAACGAUGAGUACUAGGUGUCGGGGGUUACCCCCUUCGGUGCCGCAGCUAACGCAUUAAGUACU
rnacentral:rRNA from 1 species